rnacentral:ncRNA from 1 species
CAUUGCGAAGUGGAAUCAAAGGAAUACAAAGACAGACAUUUAAUCUAACGGAAAGAAACUUCAUAUAAAGCGUACAAUCGUAGUAAGGUUACAAAACAAACUAAAACCCAUAACUAUUUGGAACGGUUGGUGUAAAUGAAGUUUUA